GACGAACGCUGGCGGCAUGCUUAACACAUGCAAGUCGAACGGAGCACCCCUGAACGAGGUUUCGGCCGAAGUGACGGGAAUGCUUAGUGGCGGACGGGUGAGUAACGCGUGAGCAACCUGCCUUGAAGUGGGGGACAACAGUUGGAAACGACUGCUAAUACCGCAUAAUAUAUCUGAGUCGCAUGGCUUGGAUAUCAAAGAUUUAUCGCUUCAAGAUGGGCUCGCGUCUGAUUAGGUAGUUGGCGGGGUAACGGCCCACCAAGCCGACGAUCAGUAGCCGGACUGAGAGGUUGAACGGCCACAUUGGGACUGAGAUACGGCCCAGACUCCUACGGGAGGCAGCAGUGGGGAAUAUUGGGCAAUGGGCGCAAGCCUGACCCAGCAAUGCCGCGUGAAGGAAGAAGGCUUUCGGGUUGUAAACUUCUUUGACAGGGGAAGAGCAGAAGACGG
rnacentral:rRNA from 1 species